UGGUCCUACGGGGGGCAGCAGAGGGGAAUAUUGCACAAUGGGGGAAACCCUGAUGAAGCGACGCCGCGUGAGUGAAGAAGUAUUUCGGUAUGUAAAGCUCUAUCAGCAGGGAAGAAAAAAGACGGUACCUGACUAAGAAGCCCCGGCUAACUACGUGCCAGCAGCCGCGGUAAUACGUAGGGGGCAAGCGUUAUCCGGAUUUACUGGGUGUAAAGGGAGCGUAGACGGAGAAGCAAGUCUGAAGUGAAAGCCCG
rnacentral:rRNA from 1 species